GGGCGGAAACUUUUUGGAUCCCGGGGUAGUACAAGCGNGAGUGAACCGGGAUGAGCUCAACGCUUAAAAUCUCUGCGCAAGUUUUGCGCGGCGAAUUGUAGUCUAUAGACGCGGCAUCAGUGCGGCCGUUCGGGGUAAGUUCCUUGGAAGAGGACAGCAAUGAGGGUGAUACUCCCGUUUGUACCCGAGUGUGUUGCACGUACGAUGCGUGUUCUUUGAGUCGCGUUGUUUGGGAAUGCAGCGCAAAGUAGGUGGGUAAAUUCCAUUCUUAAAGCCUUAAAUAUUUGGUGGCGGAGGACCCGGAUUAAGCCGGAAACCAAGGUUACCCGGUGGAGGGGGGAAAAAGAAUGGAAAAAAGGAAACCUUUGGGAAAAAAGAAAAAGGUUUAAAGGAAUUACCCUGGAAACCUGGCUGGAAAAGGGAACCCGGGGUCCGUUGGCCCGUGUUUUAUAAAUUCCGCCUGGCUUUUUUUUCAUUGGCCUGUUGGCCAAGGUCCCCGGUGUUUCGCCGGCCGUUGGGGUUAAAUUAAAUUUUUUGGUUCCCUUGGCCCCACCGCGCCCGGCCCGUUGGUUUCCUUGGUUGUGGGGGGUUUUUUGGGUUUUUCGCGGGGGCCCGGGUGUGGGCCCCCCUCGGGGUUGGCCCCGGGGUGUGGGGUGUUGGGGAGCACCCUUUCCCACAGAAAAUUUUCAAAGUUUUUCNCGUUUGGUUUGGGCCCUCUGGCCCGGGGGGAAAAAAUAUUGGGCCCUGUUGUGUUCCCAA
rnacentral:rRNA from 1 species